rnacentral:rRNA from 1 species
CUACACGGGUAUCUAAUCCUGUUCGCUCCCCACGCUUUCGCGCCUCAGCGUCAGUAUGAUGCCAGGUGGCUGCCUUCGCCAUUGACGUUCCUUCCGAUCUCUACGCAUUUCACCGCUACACCGGAAAUUCCACCACCCUCUCAUCUACUCCAGUUAGAUAGUUUGCGAUGCACUUCCCAGGUUAAGCCCGGGGCUUUCACAUCACACACAUCUUACCGCCUACGCGCCCUUUACGCCCAGUAACUCCGAUUAACGCUCGCACCCUCUGUAUUACCGCGGCUGCUGGCAC